rnacentral:rRNA from 1 species
UUGGAGGGCAAGUCUGGUGCCAGCAGCCGCGGUAAUUCCAGCUCCAAUAGCGUAUAUUAAAGUUGUUGCAGUUAAAAAGCUCGUAGUUGAAUUUCGGGAUUUGUCGGUUGGUCGGGCUUCACUGUCCGCACUGACCUGAUGGAUUCCUACCUUCUGAACAACCAGCAUGCUAUUAAGUUAGUGCGUUGGGGAAGCAGAGCUAUUACCUUGAAAAAAUUAGAGUGCUUAAAGCAAGCUUGUGCUUGAAUAGAUUAGCAUGGAAUAAUAAAAUAGGACGGCAUGGUUCUAUUUUGUUGGUUUCUAGGAUCACCGUAAUGAUUAAUAGGGAUAGUUGGGGGCAUUAGUAUUCAAUUGUCAGAGGUGAAAUUCUUGGAUUUAUUGAAGACUAACUAUUGCGAAAGCAUUUGCCAAGGAUGUUUUCAUUAAUCAAGAACGAAAGUUAGGGGAUCGAAGACGAUCAGAUACCGUCGUAGUCUUAACCAUAAACUAUGCCGACUAGGAAUCGGGCGUCGUUAUUUUCACGACUCGUUCGGCGCCUUACGGGAAAC